AGACCCGAAACCCGGUGAUCUAGCCAUGGGCAGGUUGAAGGUUGGGUAACACUAACUGGAGGACCGAACCGACUAAUGUUGAAAAAUUAGCGGAUGACCUGUGGCUGGGGGUGAAAGGCCAAUCAAACCGGGAGAUAGCUGGUUCUCCCCGAAAGCUAUUUAGGUAGCGCCUCGUGAAUUCAUCUCCGGGGGUAGAGCACUGUUUCGGCUAGGGGGCCAUCCCGGCUUACCAACCCGAUGCAAACUGCGAAUACCGGAGAAUGUUAUCACGGGAGACACACGGCGGGUGCUAACGUCCGUCGUGAAGAGGGAAACAACCCAGACCGCCAGCUAAGGUCCCAAAGUCAUGGUUAAGUGGGAAACGAUGUGGGAAGGCCCAGACAGCCAGGAUGUUGGCUUAGAAGCAGCCAUCAUUUAAAGAAAGCGUAAUAGCUCACUGGUCGAGUCGGCCUGCGCGGAAGAUGUAACGGGGCUAAACCAUGCACCGAAGCUGCGGCAGCGACACUGUGUGUUGUUGGGUAGGGGAGCGUUCUGUAAGCCUGUGAAGGUGUGUCGUGAGGCAUGCUGGAGGUAUCAGAAGUGCGAAUGCUGACAUAAGUAACGAUAAAGCGGGUGAAAAGCCCGCUCGCCGGAAGACCAAGGGUUCCUGUCCAACGUUAAUCGGGGCAGGGUGAGUCGACCCCUAAGGCGAGGCCGAAAGGCGUAGUCGAUGGGAAACGGGUUAAUAUUCCCGUACUUGGUGUUACUGCGAAGGGGGGACGGAGAAGGCUAUGUUGGCCGGGCGACGGUUGUCCCGGUUUAAGCGUGUAGGUGUGUGUUCCAGGUAAAUCCGGUUCACUUUAACACUGAGGCGUGACGACGAGGCACUACGGUGCUGAAGCAACAAAUGCCCUGCUUCCAGGAAAAGCCUCUAAGCAUCAGGUAACAUCAAAUCGUACCCCAAACCGACACAGGUGGUCAGGUAGAGAAUACCAAGGCGCUUGAGAGAACUCGGGUGAAGGAACUAGGCAAAAUGGUGCCGUAACUUCGGGAGAAGGCACGCUGACACGUAGGUGAAGUGAUUUACUCAUGGAGCUGAAGUCAGUCGAAGAUACCAGCUGGCUGCAACUGUUUAUUAAAAACACAGCACUGUGCAAACACGAAAGUGGACGUAUACGGUGUGACGCCUGCCCGGUGCCGGAAGGUUAAUUGAUGGGGUCAGCGCAAGCGAAGCUCCUGAUCGAAGCCCCGGUAAACGGCGGCCGUAACUAUAACGGUCCUAAGGUAGCGAAAUUCCUUGUCGGGUAAGUUCCGACCUGCACGAAUGGCGUAAUGAUGGCCAGGCUGUCUCCACCCGAGACUCAGUGAAAUUGAACUCGCUGUGAAGAUGCAGUGUACCCGCGGCAAGACGGAAAGACCCCGUGAACCUUUACUAUAGCUUGACACUGAACAUUGAGCCUUGAUGUGUAGGAUAGGUGGGAGGCUUUGAAGCGUGGACGCCAGUCUGCGUGGAGCCGACCUUGAAAUACCACCCUUUAAUGUUUGAUGUUCUAACGUGGACCCGUAAUCCGGGUUGCGGACAGUGUCUGGUGGGUAGUUUGACUGGGGCGGUCUCCUCCUAAAGAGUAACGGAGGAGCACGAAGGUUGGCUAAUCCUGGUCGGACAUCAGGAGGUUAGUGCAAUGGCAUAAGCCAGCUUGACUGCGAGCGUGACGGCGCGAGCAGGUGCGAAAGCAGGUCAUAGUGAUCCGGUGGUUCUGAAUGGAAGGGCCAUCGCUCAACGGAUAAAAGGUACUCCGGGGAUAACAGGCUGAUACCGCCCAAGAGUUCAUAUCGACGGCGGUGUUUGGCACCUCGAUGUCGGCUCAUCACAUCCUGGGGCUGAAGUAGGUCCCAAGGGUAUGGCUGUUCGCCAUUUAAAGUGGUACGCGAGCUGGGUUUAGAACGUCGUGAGACAGUUCGGUCCCUAUCUGCCGUGGGCGCUGGAGAACUGAGGGGGGCUGCUCCUAGUACGAGAGGACCGGAGUGGACGCAUCACUGGUGUUCGGGUUGUCAUGCCAAUGGCACUGCCCGGUAGCUAAAUGCGGAAGAGAUAAGUGCUGAAAGCAUCUAAGCACGAAACUUGCCCCGAGAUGAGUUCUCCCUGAGACUUUAGGUCUCCUGAAGGAACGUUGAAGACGACGACGUUGAUAGGCCGGGUGUGUAAGCGCAGCGAUGCGUUGAGCUAACCGGUACUAAUGAACCGUGAGGCUUAACCUUACAACGCCGAAG
rnacentral:rRNA from 1 species